GGUCGUGUAGUACAGUGGUUAGUACGUUUGUCUUACAAUUGUCUGCAUCUCUUGUGAUCACAAAAGGUCGCAGGUUCGAUCCCUGCCUCGAUCA
rnacentral:tRNA from 1 species